rnacentral:rRNA from 1 species
GAUCUGGCUCAGAUGAACGCUGGCGGCAGGCCUAACACAUGCAAGUCGAACGGUAACAGGAAGCAGCUUGCUGCUUGCUGACGAGUGGCGGACGGGUGAGUAAUGUCUGGGAAACUGCCCGAUGGAGGGGGAUAACUACUGGAAACGGUAGCUAAUACCGCAUAAUGUCGCAAGACCAAAGAGGGGGACCUUCGGGCCUCUUGCCAUCGGAUGUGCCCAGAUGGGAUUAGCUUGUUGGUGAGGUAACGGCUCACCAAGGCGACGAUCCCUAGCUGGUCUGAGAGGAUGACCAGCCACACUGGAACUGAGACACGGUCCAGACUCCUACGGGAGGCAGCAGUGGGGAAUAUUGCACAAUGGGCGCAAGCCUGAUGCAGCCAAUGCCGCGUGUAUGAAGAAGGCCUUUGGGUUGUAAAGUACUUUCAGCGGGGAGGAAGGGGUUAAGGUUAAUAACCUUAGCCAUUGACGUUACCCGCAGAAGAAGCACCGGCUAACUCCGUGCCAGCCGCCGC